GUGUUCCUUUCGCACCGAAUUGUGUUUGUUUAUUUAUCUCAUUUUCUCUCCUUAUGUGUUCGUAUGAUUUUUUUGAUUUUUUUUUUGUAUAUCCUCUAUAUAUGCACAAGACAGAUCUUGGCCUUGAUAUAAACGUAGCUUGGAGUCAGACUGGUCAAACGUUAUCAUCAAUAACUGUUACUUCCUUCCGAUACUGGCAGGGCAAAUAUCCACAGUACUUUCUAGACUAGCUCUUCACAUCUUUUUUAAUUUUUUU
rnacentral:lncRNA from 1 species